rnacentral:tRNA from 1 species
GGGCGGUUAGCUCAUUUAGCAGAGCGUCUCAUUGACGUUGAGAAGGUAAUAGGUGCAAUUCCUAUACCGCCCA